rnacentral:tRNA from 1 species
UACAUUUUAGUAUAUAAUGUAUUUAAGUUUUUGAUACUUAAGGAGAGGGUUUAAUUCCUUUAAAUGUAA